rnacentral:misc_RNA from 1 species
ACACCUCAACUCUCAUGGUUUGCCAUGAUGAGCUUGGACUUCUGGGGGUUUUGCUGGCUUACCGUCAGCUCCUCUCAAAUGAAUCAGCUUGCCAGUGUUUGGUGGCAUCACGGGUGUGAUAACUAUCUACGCUUGUGGUUUUCUGCCAGGUAGCCUUCAGUGAUGGAGGUUCGCUGGAGCUCAUAAACGUCUCUCCUCAGCGAAGACAGUUUCGUGAAC